UACGUAGGGUGCAAGCGUUGUCCGGAAUUAUUGGGCGUAAAGAGCUCGUAGGCGGUUUGUCGCGUCGGCUGUGAAAUCCCGAGGCUCAACCUCGGGCCUGCAGUCGAUACGGGCAAACUAGAGUGUGGUAGGGGAGACUGGAAUUCCUGGUGUAGCGGUGAAAUGCGCAGAUAUCAGGAGGAACACCGGCGGCGAAGGCGGGUCUCUGGGCCAUUACUGACGCUGAGGAGCGAAAGCGUGGGGAGCGAACAGG
rnacentral:rRNA from 1 species